UGAAAUGGUAGCUUAAGAUGAGAGAAAAAAUGUUUAUAUACACGUCGCGAUCAUGUUAAAUUUGGCAACAAAUAAAUCGUUGUCCAUUACAUCCUUGCAUUUGUAGUGUUUUGAAAUUUGUGAGUAAAAAAAUUAAUAAUGUAAUAUUUGUGUCAAGACUUUGGACUAAUUUCUGCUUUAAUUGAAAUGUGGCGUUCAUAAUCAUAAACACAUACCUUUCGUAUGGGAACUGGU
rnacentral:lncRNA from 1 species